rfam:Triticum urartu cultivar G1812 contig775935, whole genome shotgun sequence.
GACAUACUCCCUCCGUUCGAAACUACUUGUCUCGAAAAUGGAUGUAUCUAAAACUAAAAUACAUCUAGAUACAUCCAUUUCUGCGACAAGUAAUUCGGAACGGAGGGAGUACUAC